UGCGUAGGCGGCUUGGUAGGUGAGAUGUGAAAGCCCACGGCCCAACCGUGGAAUUGCGUUUCAAACCCCCAAGCUUGAGGAAGAUAGGGGUGAUGGGAACUUAUGGUGGAGCGGUGAAAUGCGUUGAUAUCAUAGGGAACACCGGUGGCGAAAGCGCAUCACUGGAUCUUUUCUGACGCUGAGGCACGAAAGCUAGGGUAGCGAACG
rnacentral:rRNA from 1 species